UCCGCGGCCUCCGCGUACAGGGCGCAGUUUUUGGGCUUGGUCCUCUCCCCCAUGGAUCAAAUGGUUUGGAAGGUUUGGGCCCCUCCGAAAGUCAAGUUCUUUGCUUGGCUCGCGCUUCAAGAUAGGAUCUGGACUGCAAACAGAUUGCAGAGGCGAGGCUGGCCAAACUGUGGCCCUUGUCCCUUGUGCAGAGGGGUGCAGGAAUGCGGUCCCCAUCUAUUCUUCAGAUGCCGCUUCACCCUCAGGCUCUGGAACAUGGUGAUUCAGAAGCUCUGCAUCCACGACAUGGACACGUCCGCAUGGCACUUGUACGACUCCAUCAAGGAAUGGUGGGCGAGUUUGAGCGCCGAGGGCACCGCCAACCGAAAAGCGAAGGCUUCGAUAACCAUGUUGGUUUCAUGGGUGAUCUGGAAUGAG
rnacentral:rRNA from 1 species